rnacentral:other from 1 species
CAUCCCCUGCAGUGUUCGACAGCGGCCUGGGUAUAUUCUUGAGCCUAAUGCAUACCCCGGGGGCGCCUUUGGUUAGGGCUGUUGUGCAAGUCCGCCGCGAGCGGAAAGCCUGAAGCCCUCUCCCGCGUCCCCACUUGAACCCGCUGGUUCAAGAACGAGGGCAGGCAUCGGCACAGGUGGGGGAUGU